rnacentral:lncRNA from 1 species
UGCAAUAUUUAUGCCUUUUGCAUAGUUUUACGCUAAAUAAAAUAUUCAGGGCAGUGUAGAAAAAUUACACAAGGCUAAGCUUCAGAAAACUGGCAGCAAUAUCGGCGUGAACAUCACGAGCGGUCGGCCCGUCGGCGUGCGAAGCUGAGCAUCGAGGGUUCUUUAUUCUAUGAUAGAGGUGGAAGUAGGUGCUUUUUAUUGCUAGACGCCAUACGCCACAUCAUGGAAAGAAGGCAGCAGCUUUUGCUGCUAAAAAAGAAGCUCCUGCUUCUCAUUAUUUUGAGGAGGCAGGAGCGACGACGCCGGCGCUGGUGGGUGCGACCCGUGUUCAUGCACCGAAAGGAAGAAGGGCUUUAUUACACGGCGAUGCGUCGGAUGAGAGAGGGGGACCAUGAAUUUUUUUUAAAGUUCUAUAGAAUGACUCCAGAAAUGUUCGACACAUUACUUUCAUUUGUGGUCGAGGACCUCAAACGCAAGUAUGUUGUGAGGGAGCCCCUUGAACCCGGUGAACGGCUUGCAAUAACCUUAAGCUACCUUGCAUCUGGCCAGGAAAUUAAGGACGUGGCACUGGCUUAUAGAGUGGGCAUAGAGACGGCUAGGCUAUGCAUUCAUUUAUGCUGUCGAAGCAUUUGGGCGCGACUAAAAGAUCACUUCAUGAAGGUAGGGAGCACAUAAUAACAUUAAAGGAUUUUGAGUUCAUUUUCCAAUCAUUAUUUGGCAUUUACACAUGCAGGAUGGCUUUCAGCUGACCUUAUUUGUGUGCCUAUGUUAUUAUUAUUAGCUUAUUUACCUUGAUGUAUGUACUGCAUUAGUCCUUGCAGUUCCCUUUCUGAAAGUAUCAUUCUGCUGAUGAUUGUGUUAGUGUGGAUGCGCUUAUUUUAAUUCCAUGCUGUUCGGCAUAUUUCACAAUAUGCUGACAUACCUUUUUGCAUGUUAAAUGCAGGCAUACAUAAUGUAACUGCCUUUUACCACUGCUGGCACUUUUGUACUUGUUUGAUUGAGCAGUGAUGGCAGUGCGCAAAGGAGGCAUGUGACAUGUAUUCAUCUUGCUU